rnacentral:rRNA from 1 species
UACGUAGGGACCAAGCGUUGUUCGGAUUUACUGGGCGUAAAGGGCGCGUAGGCGGCAAUUCAAGUCAUCUGUGAAAUCUCCGGGCUUAACUCGGAAUGGUCAGGUGAUACUGCUUUGCUAGAGUGCAGAAGGGGGCAAUCGGAAUUCUUGGUGUAGCGGUGAAAUGCGUAGAUAUCAAGAGGAACACCUGAGGUGAAGACGGGUUGCUGGGCUGACACUGACGUGAUGCGCGAAAGCCAGGGGAGCGAACGGGG